GAUAUUGGUCAAUGGGGGGAACCCUGAACCAGCCAUGCCGCGUGAGGGAAUAAGGCCCUACGGGUCGUAAACCUCUUUUGCCGGGGGAUAAGGACGGCUACGUGUAGCUGUUUGAAGGUACCCGGAGAAUAAGCAUCGGCUAACUCCGUGCCAGCAGCCGCGGUAAUACGGAGGAUGCGAGCGUUAUCCGGAUUUAUUGGGUUUAAAGGGUGCGCAGGCGGGCUGUUAAGUCAGCGGUGAAAGGCUCGAGCUCAACCGGAGCAGUGCCGUUGAUACUGGCGGUCUUGAAUGCGGUCAAGGCCGGCGGAAUGUGGCGUGUAGCGGUGAAAUGCAUAGAUAUGCCACAGAACACCGAUAGCGGAGGCAGCUGGCCGGGCCUGCAUUGACGCUCAGGCACGAAAGCGUGGGGAUCGAACA
rnacentral:rRNA from 1 species